rnacentral:tRNA from 1 species
AUAAAGUAGUAUAUUUAGUACAUAGAGUUUUGAUCUCUGAGGAAAAGGUUAUGAGCCUUUUUUUGUAA